GAAAUGCGAUACGUAAUGUGAAUUGCAGAUCCGUGAAUCAUCUAAUCUUUGAACGCAUAUUGCGCUCUCUGGUAAUCCGGAGAGCAUGCCUGUUUGAGAAUCGAUAGACUCUCUCACCCACUUGUGUUUUUAACAGUAGUGGAUGGAUUUGGGUUCUUGUUUGCAAAAACAAAGCCUAGAAAACAGUAAAGUCUUUUGGCCCUACUGUUGCUUAAAGUCGUGUUUGAUGUCGCAAGACCUUUACAACUUUAGCCAACGCCAAGUAGUCCAGGAGGCUUUUCAGACCAACAGCUUCGGCUAUAACAAAGCAAUUUGUUGACUUGGUCUCAAAUCAGGCAAGAGUACCCGCUGAACUUAA
rnacentral:misc_RNA from 1 species